CACUCCUGCGGGAGGCAGCAGUGGGGAAUAUUGGACAAUGGGCGCAAGCCUGAUCCAGCCAUGCCGCGUGAGUGAUGAAGGCCCUAGGGUUGUAAAGCUCUUUCACCGGUGAAGAUAAUGACGGUAACCGGAGAAGAAGCCCCGGCUAACUUCGUGCCAGCAGCCGCGGUAAUACGAAGGGGGCUAGCGUUGUUCGGAUUUACUGGGCGUAAAGCGCACGUAGGCGGACUAUUAAGUCAGGGGUGAAAUCCCGGGGCUCAACCCCGGAACUGCCUUUGAUACUGGUAGUCUUGAGUUCGGGAGAGGUGAGUGGAAUUCCGAGUGUAGCGGUGAAAUUCGUAGAUAUUCGGAGGAACACCAGUGGCGAAGGCGGCUCACUGGCUCGAUACUGACGCUGAGGUGCGAAAGCGUGGGGAGCAAACAGGAUUAGAAACCCUUGUAGUCCCAUGA
rnacentral:rRNA from 1 species